GCCUACUCAAUGUGAAGAUGAGGAUGAAGAUUUUGUGAUGACCCACCUUUUUUAAAUAAAUGUGACCUUUUAUUUCAGAAACUACCUGGACCUUACUAAAGAGACUGCCUCCAAAGAAUCUAGGCCACAUUUUUGGGGUUUGGAGGAUGCUUCGUCCCUCAAGUAGAGAAGAAGUGAUCCCAGAAGUGUUUCUUCCACCUAAGACAACACUGGAGGAUUUAUUGAGAUAUUGCUGGCAGACCUCCCUGUUCACAGAUCUUGGUUUUGCUGUGUUCACAAAUCCCUAAGAAGUUUACCUUGGAAUAUGAGGGGAGCCCCCAGAGACCACUGCUUUUAUUUUUGGCUUAGCCCGAGCCUCUCAAAUACAGAAGCACCUUUCUGUCAGAUCGUCAGGUCACCUCUGCAUGGACCAGCCUUCAUUCCUGAACGGGCCUUUAGACAUCUGACUCACAGCAGAAAAAGAUCACUUUGACUUUCUAUUUACAUUUCAUUUGGCAGAAAGCAGCAAACUACACUUUGAAGAGAAGAAGUGGAAUUCCAGAAAUAUUCAGUGGCAAGCUCAAGUUCACAGUGUCAGAGCAAAACAAAGACUAGAACUCCUGGUGCAGACUGAAUGCCCACAGCAGUCUCCUGCAGUCAGCUGUGCUGUCCCAUGGUAAAAGUUACAUGACAUUUCUCCUUUUGUGGUCACAUUGACCCACAUGCAUUUGAAUAUGUUUGCACAUUGCUUAAAGUGAUCUUACAUUUCCAUCAUGAGUGUAUCUUCCACUUCCCGAAAUUGAUUGUAAUGUUCUCAGGGAUGGGAGCUGAAGCCUCUAUUUUCUUUGUGCCCUAUCUCCAACACCCAGUGGAGUUUCAGUAAGUGUUAUUCACAGGUUGACUGACUGACUGAACAUGGAAGCUAAGAUAGAGAGGCUUGGGAAAAGUUUGGGGUUUAGCCACAGAGGGCAAAGGUACGGUUUCUAAUCUAUCAGACAACCUUUUUCUGCUGUGUAAUUUGGAGACGGGGUUUUGAUAAACAGCUGUAGGGCUCCAUCAGUCUCCUAAAGCUUUAGAAAAAUUUCCUGCAUUGUGAGUGCUUAGAACAUAGAUUGUUACUGUGUUUUGUAUAUUUUAGAAAAAAAUGAGGAUAAGUACUCAUAAUUUCUCACCCACAGUGGAGAAAAUAGAUACAUGAGAGCUGAGUUGGUGAAUUAAUGUAACAAUUAAUGGUGACUGUGUCUCAGCUAGGAUCAAGUUGACCUCACUGAGGUUUAAAUGGCCACUUAGAUUGUUGCUGUUUUUUUCUGGGUUUUCAAACUUCCACAAAGGAAGGGAGAAUAGGGAGGAGUGGCUUUGUGCAUGUGCUUUGGAAUCAGUCUAUUUUUUCAAUUUCAGUUUCACCAUUUACUAGUCGUAUAACCUUGAACAAGUUACAUAACCUGGCUAAGGCUCAGUUUCUCCAUCUGCAAACUGCAGAUAAUAUUUCCUCAAUAGGAUUUACAUAAAGAUUAAGCAAGAAGUUGUAUAUGAAGUGAGAAGUGCUCAUCAGUGGUUGUGAAUAUUAUGGUGUAUUCCUAGCAGUCCAGGAUGAAAGCAAACUUUUAGAUUACUGUUCUGCUAUUACUGUUUUUUAGUUUACAAAUGAGAGAACCUGAGGUGGCAAAAUAAUGAACUGCCAUCUUACUUGUGUCAGUUGACAUUUUAGUUUGUUACCGAUGUGUACUUUAUGUAUUUAGCAAUGUUGCUGCUGGUUGUAGUAUUUGAGGUAGCCGUGAGGAUGUGCCUCUCAGAUCUCUCACUGCAGGAGCAGAAUUGACUGAAGGUCUCAGCUGCUGAGCCUGGAAAUCCAUACUGGAAUUGGUGCUGAAGCCAUACUUGCCAUAGGCUGCUGCCAACCAAUGACUGAGCCCAGCAGGGAUCCCGAGGAUGGCUCAUUCCAGCGGGGGAGGACUCCUCUGGUGGACAGCUUGAGCUGAGUAAUUCCCUAGCUGUGUUGCUGAACUUCCUUGACCCUGCACUGCCAUUUAAGAUUCUCCCACCCAACUUGCCUUCUUCCUUCUGUCCUUCACAAGGGUCAGACCUACAUAAAGAUAUGAUAACUCUCAUAGCCUCUCCUGGCUCCCUUCCCAUGUUCCCUCACAGGGGUUUGCCUUAAUAAAAUACUUGCAUAUUUAACCCUCUCAUGAUACCUGCUUCUCAGAGGACCCAGACUAACAUACUGUGACCAGGCAGAGAGCAGGGCUGAAGCAAGUAACCUUCCUUUUUCAAUAGGCAGUGCACCUUUGAUAGCUAAUGGUGAUGAUCAAAGAAUCUCAGAACCAUAAAGACACCCACAGAGAUAUGGUUUACUCAUCCUGGUGAUCUUCAGAUGGUAAACACUUAAAGAGUGCACAACACAUGUCUACUGCCUUGUUAACACAUCUCAGAUUUGUCUCAUGUUCUUAAGUGGAUGAAACUUCUGGUGCUGAUAAUCAAGUCGUCAGCUGGUGAAUGCCGAGCUGAAGUUAGAAAACAGUUCUGUUAAAAGCAAUUUCUUUGCUGACUGGCCAGAGUGAAGAGUACUUAAGAACUGUUUUUCUUAUUACCAUAACAAUCAUCAUUGAAAGAAUUUUUAAACCUUGGAUGAAGGAGUAGAAGGCAGAAGAAAGAAGUGACAUUUGCAUGGAUUAGAUAACUUACCAGUUCAUUUAAAGAGGCCUAUGAGGAAGAUGUUAUUAUUUCCUUUCUGUGUGCAAGGAAAUUGAGACUCAGAAUGGUAACUUGCUCUAGGUCACUGUCUUAGUCUAUUUUCCAGAUGUUGUAAUAAGAUAUCAUAAGGUGAGUAGCUUAUAAACAACAUAAAUUUAUUUCUCAUACUUCUUAAGGCGGGACAAUUCAAGAUCAAGGUGCCAGCAGAUUUCGUGUCUGGUGAGGGCACACUUUCUGGUUCAUAGUGUCUUCUCACUGUGUCCUCACAUGGUAAAAUGGGUGGCGGGGGUGGGGAGGGUUUCUCUAAGGCCUCUUAUAUAAGGACACUAAGCCCAUUCAUGAGGGCUCUGCCCCUAUGACCUAAUCACCUCACAAAGGCCCCACCUCCUAAUACCAUCACCUUGGGAAUGAAGACUUCAACAUAUGAAUUUGGGGGCGGGGGGUGCAUAAACAAUCAGACAAUAGCAGUCAUAUAACAAAGAAAGAAAGAAAGAAAGAAAGAAAGAAAGAAAGAAAGAAAGAAAGAAAGAAAGAAAGAGAGAGAGAAAAAAGUCCCUGAGCACACGUUUUUCAGAUUCAAUAAUUCAGACAGAUGCUUCUGUGUUUAUGGAGCUGGCUAUUGGUUGUUUUCUAGUAUGGACCUAAGAAACUGGACCAGAGAUCUCUAACCCAUACAUUGAUUUUCUUCCUCAAAUAGAGAAUGUGCCUGCUCAUGGCAUGAUAAGCUGAGCAUUACAGUGAUAGUAGGUAAAGAGAGUUGGAGAACGUCUGGAAGAAAUGGUGAGGCAUACUGGGUUCCCUAAGGGGAAAUUAUUUGCUUGCUAUUCAUUUCCACAGGGAUUUAUGAUUAGAGAGUGUUUGAAUAUAUUACUCUCUAGAUGGUCAGCUUCCAUAUGUGGCUAUGCCUGGGUAGCAUUUACUCUCUAUUAUUCAGACAAUUUAGGUCAACCCAUACUUUUUCCUCACUUAUUUUAAUAUUUGACAAGGCAGGUGGUGGCAGAUAUCAAACA
rnacentral:lncRNA from 1 species